GCGGCGGACGGGUGAGUAAUGCAUAGGAAUCUGCCCGGUAGUGGGGGAUAACCUGGGGAAACCCAGGCUAAUACCGCAUACGCCCUACGGGGGAAAGCAGGGGAUCUUCGGACCUUGCGCUAUCGGAUGAGCCUAUGUCGGAUUAGCUUGUUGGUGAGGUAAUGGCUCACCAAGGCGACGAUCCGUAGCUGGUCUGAGAGGAUGAUCAGCCACAUCGGGACUGAGACACGGCCCGAACUCCUACGGGAGGCAGCAGUGGGGAAUAUUGGACAAUGGGCGAAAGCCUGAUCCAGCCAUGCCGCGUGUGUGAAGAAGGCUUUCGGGUUGUAAAGCACUUUCAGUGAGGAAGAACGCCUUCGGGUUAAUACCCCGGAGGGAAGACAUUACUCACAGAAGAAGCACCGGCUAACUCCGUGCCAGCAGCCGCGGUAAUACGGAGGGUGCGAGCGUUAAUCGGAAUUACUGGGCGUAAAGCGCGCGUAGGUGGCUUGAUAAGCCGGUUGUGAAAGCCCCGGGCUCA
rnacentral:rRNA from 1 species